rnacentral:rRNA from 1 species
UGGGGAAUUUUGCACAAUGGGGGAAACCCUGAUGCAGCGACGCCGCGUGAUUUAGAAGGCCUUCGGGUUGUAAAAAUCUUUUGUAUGGGAAGAAAAUGACAGUACCAUACGAAUAAGGACCGUCUAAUUACGUGCCAGCAGCCGCGGUAAUACGUAAGGUCCGAGCGUUGUCCGGAAUCAUUGGGCGUAAAGGGUACGUAGGCGGAUAAGCAAGUUAGAAGUGAAAUCCUAUAGCUCAACUAUAGUAAGCUUUUAAAACUGCUCAUCUUGAGGUAUGGAAGGGAAAGUGGAAUUCCUAGUGUAGCGGUGAAAUGCGCAGAUAUUAGGAGGAAUACCGGUGGCGAAGGCGACUUUCUGGCCAUAUACUGACGCUGAGGUACGAAAGCGUGGGUAGCAAACAGG